CAGGAGAAGAGUUGUCCACCAGCAGAGAAAAAUGGACAGUCCAGUGCACAGAACAUUCAAUAUUCAGGCAGGGAUCUGGAAAAGGAACACACACACCCCAAGGGACGGGCACCACAGCUCAAGCAUCACAUGAAAACUCUACCAUUGCUCCAAGCUCCUUUCAGGGUGCUAGCCAAUGAUGCCUACACACAAUUUCUUUACACCUCCAUCUCAAUCAUGCUGCAAUGACAUCAAUAUUGGAAACUUGCUCACCAUUGCGGUGUCUCGACUCAGCUAUCAGGCUCACUGCUCUGCCCACUGCAUGAGCGG
rnacentral:misc_RNA from 1 species